rnacentral:misc_RNA from 1 species
GUCGCGACCACGACGAGUGCCGCCGCGGCGAAGGCGAGGUUCCACGCUAUGUCGAGGGCGACGAUGGGGCGGGAGUAGGCCCAGUCGGCUCGGCGGCGCUCGAGAUGGAGCGCGGCGGCGUCGCGGACGAGGGCGGGGGUGCCGCGCGGGCCUAUGGCGCGGGAGAGGAAGGAGGCAAGGCUGUUGAGGCGGGAGGUGGCGAGGGGACGACGGAGGAGGAGGGGGGCG